GAUCCUCGGGAAGGAACGCGAGGCUCUGGGAUAAUCCGUUGCCGGAAGCCAGGAAUCCUGGCUAAGAUUGAACUGCGCAUUCCAUUUCAACGGCCAAUCAGAUUCCUCCCUGAAACGGAUUAUCCCAGAGCCUCACGUUCCUUCCCGAGGAUC